UACGAAGGGUGCUAGCGUUGCUCGGAAUCACUGGGCGUAAAGGGGGCGUAGGCGGGUCUUUAAGUCAGGGGUGAAAUCCUGGAGCUCAACUCCAGAACUGCCUUUGAUACUGAGGAUCUUGAGUUCGGGAGAGGUGAGUGGAACUGCGAGUGUAGAGGUGAAAUUCGUAGAUAUUCGCAAGAACACCAGUGGCGAAGGCGGCUCACUGGCCCGAUACUGACGCUGAGGCACGAAAGCGUGGGGAGCAAACAGG
rnacentral:rRNA from 1 species